rnacentral:rRNA from 1 species
AAUAUUGCACAAUGGGCGCAAGCCUGAUGCAGCCAUGCCGCGUGUAUGAAGAAGGCCUUCGGGUUGUAAAGUACUUUCAGCGAGGAGGAAGGCAUUAAGGUUAAUAACCUUAGUGAUUGACGUUACUCGCAGAAGAAGCACCGGCUAACUCCGUGCCAGCAGCCGCGGUAAUACGGAGGGUGCAAGCGUUAAUCGGAAUUACUGGGCGUAAAGCGCACGCAGGC